GACGAACGCUGGCGGCGUGCUUAACACAUGCAAGUCGAACGGAAAGGCCUGCUUUCCCUUGUGGAUUGCGGGUACUCGAGUGGCGAACGGGUGAGUAACACGUGAGUGAUCUGCCCCCAACUUGGGUAUAAGCCUGGGAAACUGGGUCUAAUUCCCGAUAGGACUGCAGGGUGGUUCCUGUGGUGGAAAACGAUUUUCUAGUGGUUGGGGAUGAGCUCGCGGCCUAUCAGCUUGUUGGUGGGGUAAUGGCCUACCAAGGCGGCGACGGGUAGCCGGCCUGAGAGGGUGGACGGCCACAUUGGGACUGGGAUACGGCCCAGACUCCUACGGGAGGCAGCAGUGGGGAAUAUUGCACAAUGGGCGGAAGCCUGAUGCAGCGACGCCGCGUGGGGGAUGACGGCCUUCGGGUUGUAAACUCCUUUCGACCGCGAGGAAGCCACCUGGUUGGAAGGGUGGUGACGGUAGUGGUAGAAGAAGCACCGGCUAACUACGUG
rnacentral:rRNA from 1 species